AAAGAGAUAGGAAAGAACUGACCUACUUUCUAUGGAGAUUCUUGUAAUAUGUGGGCUCAUUACAUCUGCCUGACCCAGGCUUGGUUCGGUAAAGACACCAUUCCAAGGAGCUCAGCUCACCCCUCUGCCUUGAAUCAUUUUCCCCUAAUCCCAUUUCAAAUGAAAUCAUUCGUUCAUUGCUUCAUUCAGUAGACAUCUAUAGAGCUUGCCUGGUGCUGGGCUCUAGGAACACUAUGAGCUCACAGUACGGUGGUGGAGACAAGCCACCACACACGCAGUUCCCACAAGGUGUCCCCAAGAACUUUGGAGCUCAGAACAGGUGAUACUCACUCCUCCUUUGGGGAGAGGCCGUGGGCAUGGCUUCACUUUUCAGCUGGAUUAUAAAGGAUGUGAAGUUAGCUUUACUGAGCAGGAGGGGAGGGAAGACAGUACUCCAAGAAAGUGGAACGAACAGCAGAGUCCAAAGGGCCCUCCAGCCUACCCAGUCCCAACUACCUGGAAGAAGUUCUCCACAUGUUCCCUUGGGGCCUCCUCCCGGAGUGCAGGGUCAUACAAGUUGAAGGCCCAAUUAAGCCUGUCAUCUACAGUUCCCCGAAGAAUCACGGACAAACCAGCCACAAAGUCCUGGGAAGGAGGCAGGAGGGAGCUGUGUCUUCAGGUACUCUUCACCCAACCCCUUCCCUGGGUUUGGCCUGGAAAUCCUGGCCCUGAAGUCCAGGAAACAGGCUUCCCUGGCCCACCUCGCCCAGCUCACCUCAAAACUGACCGAGCCAUCAUGGUUGGUGUCAAAGGCAUUGAAGAGAAAAGUGGCAUAGGUGCUGGAGUCUGCAGGGUGAGUGUGGAGAAGUUGGCUUCCACACAGGAGAGGACUUCCUCCUUCUAUGGAGCUCCCCAUACCCCCCAUCACCUUGGCAUUCCCAGCCCCUCCAGAAUCCCUCCCUCCCUCAGCCUAGAGAAGGACAGCUGCUGCCCUUUGCGCCUUGUCCCCUCACCUCCUUGAGGAAAGAACUGGGAGUAAAUUUGCUUGAAGUUCUCCUCAUUGACAAUUCCGCUCGGACAUUCCUGGAAGGAGAGAGGGCACCAGGCUGAGGGCAGAGACAAAAUCCCCUUCCAUUCACCACCCCCACCCUCCAUGGCCCAAGACUCCCAGGGAGGGGGAUAAUCUUCAAGCCUCCAGAGGACUCACCACGUGGCUCAUGUGAUGGGAGGCAAGACUUCUUUCCCAGUGCACAAAUAAAAAACAUGGAACGAAA